rnacentral:rRNA from 1 species
AACGAACGCUGGCGGCAUGCCUAACACAUGCAAGUCGAACGAGACCUUCGGGUCUAGUGGCGCACGGGUGCGUAACGCGUGGGAACCUGCCCUUAGGUUCGGAAUAACUCCCCGAAAGGGGUGCUAAUACCGGAUAAUGUCUUCGGACCAAAGAUUUAUCGCCUUUGGAUGGGCCCGCGUUGGAUUAGCUAGUUGGUAAGGUAAAAGCAUACCAAGGCGACGAUCCAUAGCUGGUCUGAGAGGAUGAUCAGCCACACUGGGACUGAGACACGGCCCAGACUCCUACGGGAGGCAGCAGUGGGGAAUAUUGGAAAAUGGGCGAAAGCCUGAUCCAGCAAUGCCGCGUGAGUGAUGAAGGCCUUAGGGUUGUAAAGCUCUUUUACCCGGGAUGAUAAUGACAGUACCGGGAGAAUAAGCUCCGGCUAACUCCGUG